GUUCUCCUCCUCCUCCUCCUCUCUCUCUCUCUCUCUGCGGGGCUGGGCAGCCGGCUCGCUCCUCUCUCUCUCUCUCGCUCUCUCUCUCUCUCUCUCUCCCUCGCAGUGCGCCGAACCUGCAGUCGGCAGGUGUCUGUCCGCGGAGCUCCCCAUCACUUCCCACCGGGAGUGAUCUCAGAUGCCAGACCGAGGCUUAAAAACUCACACUGCAAGUGUUGCUGCACAGACUCCAUCAUCGGCUGCGACGAUGUUGCAGUGAUAGACGGCAGAGAAUCUCCCCCCCGCCCGCGCGCUGCUUCAGCCGGCAUCGUCAGCUGUUGCUCUUACAGGAGAGAGUGGAAGUCUCGGGAGCCACGGCCGAAAAAAAAAAAGAAAGAAAGAAAGACAAAAAAAAGGCCAAACUAUGCGACUGAUUUCCAAACGGUAACCGUUUUAUUUUAUUUUUUCGUGCGUAAAAGUCGAACUGGGAAGCGGAUGCGAGCAGAGGUCGCCGACGAGCCUCCGAGUAUUUUCUGCCCUUUGUCGGUGCCGGAGGAGCCGCGCCAAUGGAGAAGGCGACCCCGCCGCCACAGCCACAGCUUCAGCUGUCGAUAGCGAAGACGGAGAGUCCGGCGGAGGACAUCUCCGCCCUCGCCGACGAGGAGCUGCUCCAGUGGCCCAGGGAGGACCUGGUGCGGCGGCUGCGGCGCUCCGAGGCCGACAAGAUGAGCGUGAUCCUGGACCACGGCAAUCUCAUCCGGGAGGUCAAUCGCAGUCUCCAGCUGCACCUGAACGAGAUCCGGGGGCUGAAGGACAUUAACCAGAAGCUGCAGGAGGACAACCGCGAGCUGCGCGACUUGUGCUGCUUUCUGGACGAUGACCGUCAGAAGGGAAAGCGCGUCUCCAGGGAGUGGCAGCGCCUGGGACGAUACAGCGCCAGCAUCAUGCGCAAAGAGGUGACCCUCUACCUGCAGAAGCUCAAGGAGCUGGAGCUUCGACAGGAGGAGGUCAUCCGCGAGAACCUGGAGCUGAAGGAGCUGUGUCUGCUGCUGGACGAGGAGAAGGGAGUGGCGGGCGGAGGAGGGGGCGGUGGAGGAAGUGGAAGCGGAGUGGGGAUGGGAGGGUGCCGCAACUCCAUAGACAGCCAGAAUAGUUUGCUGCUGGUGCCUGGGCAGGGGCUCCUGAUGAGGGAUGUGGGGGACGGGAGCAGCACCUCCAGUGCUGGGAGCGCUGACAGCUCAGAUCACCCUCAUCACAAGCAGCCUCACCUGGCUGUGGGAGUUGGUGGGGUUGGCAGCGCUGGGGAAAAAAGGAGCCCUGAGCUCGUGCAUAAACCCAGGUGUAGCAGCAUUAGUGGAAUAGGAGGAGGUGACAGGGAAAUGUCCAGUCCCGACCACCCAGCUGGGCGCCACCGGAGUACAAGCCUUGAGUAUCCGUACACCCUGCCCCAGCUCAGCCGACCCCGCUGCGGCUCCAUAUCUGUGCCUGACCACAGUCGGGCCAUGCGGGGCCUCAGCCCGGAGAAAUACGGGAGGAACGUGGGGCGACGCAGUCCUGAGCAGCACCCCAAGCACCACAGCUCCGAUCUCCUCCUGGGCCAGAGGCAGCACUUCCUGGGUCAGGGGGGCAGCGGGGAGCUCUUUCAGAGGCACCACAGGAGCAGCAUCAGCAGCACAGGCUGCGGGAGCCCCGAGCUCCGACAGGCACAUUUAGGGACCAGUGAGCAUCACGAAAAGGGCUGCGUGGUCCCGGGGGGCAGCCCCGAAACCCACAGGCACCAGUACAGUAUGAGCCCGGACCACGUGAAGUUUGGCAGCCCUGUGCGAGAUGGGCAGAGGAGGCCAGCUGGAGACGAGCUGUCGCCGCAUCAUCGAAGUAUCUACAACGGCAUGAAUGGUGUGGUGUGAACGCAACCUAAGAUGACCUUAAACAGCUUUGAUAUCAGCCGGCUGCUGCACUAACAACUGUAGAAAUGUCAAGUUAUGGGACAGCUUCGAUGCUUCGUCUUGACCCCAAAUCGGACAGUUAGGCUCCUCAAACAGAGGGAAAGGUCGCAGCGGCGCAGCCCUCCUGCGUCUCUGGCCGAGACAGGCACAAGGGCCCCCGGGUGCGGCUGUCCACGGCUCCACGCGGUCUGUCGCCCACGGCCUCAUCCAUGUCCACAGCCCCGAAACGGCCUGCCUCCAUUUUCUUUUGUUUCUACAUAUCGAGAGUUCAAGGGGAGGGGAGUUUCCUGAGAGAACGCCAUCAGUACGGUCGGUACAACCCGUUGAAGACUGCCACAGCCAAUCGGAUUUGAGUGGAUAUCUCUCCCUGCCAACUGCGACACGGCUACCUCCCGGAGAGCACCCAGAGAGAUGGAGGGGGGUGGGCUUGAGAAGAGAUGGAAGAGACUCUGGACUGUUGGUGCUGCUACCCCCUGUUUACAAAUGUAGAUCAUUGGUGGAGAAGCACAUACAUGAAACUUUCUAUACCCCGCUGUUCUCAACUUUAACUAUUUUGCUACACUUGAAUCUCCCUCUCUCUCUCUCUCUAUUCUAUAUCCUUCAUCUUUCCCCACUGUUGUCCCAUUUUUCUUCCCACUCAAUCCCUCCUCUCCCUUCAUCUUCAGACGUUCAUCACCCAAAGUGUAUAACGAGACCGGUGUAAUCUAAUGUUCUGUCUCCCGGUCUCCAAUUCCAGCCGAUCACAUGAUCGCCAUCGUAUCCUCUCCCCUUCCUCGUAAAAACCUUAUCAGCCAUUACAACUGAACUUAAAAAAAACGAUGUUCUCGCAAAGAAAAAAACAACAACAACCUUUUCCUGUGUCUUAAACCGAGACGGUCAACAUUUCUAGCUGCUGACAGAUGUUCUAGUUCUUUAAGAUGCAAUGUGCAGGUGUCAUUUUUUCUUUUUUGUAUCAUAUUCUUUGCUCCCUUAAAGCGCCUAUAUUAUAGCUGGGGAGUCGAUUAUACGUUUCUCCAUGUUGUUUUUUACAAGGAAGUAAAGUCCAAGUAAAAAGUAGAAUAUUGGAUUAGUUUUCUAUAUAUAUAUAUAUAUCUAUAUCUAUAUAUAAUAUGAUUAUUAUUUUUGUCUUACUGGUAUUAGAACUAUUAUAUCAAGAUGCAUAUGAUAUAUAUAUCAAAUAAUAAACAGACUUCUUUAUGUAAAAGUGAAUCACUUGUUAAGGU